GUUUCUUUGCAAUUUCUUGACUCCCAGUCCACGGCAGAUGAGGAAGAGGAGCAGGGCCAGCUAGCAGGGCCAGGGCUGGGGGAGCCGAGGGCGGCGCCCAGGAUGCAAGCUGUGCAGAGGUUCACGCAUGAGCCUGAGAGCGAGGAAAUUGAGUGGCAGAGAAUUUGAAUAACUCUCCUGGCUUCUACUUCUGGCCAAACUGGAGAAACAGGGAUCCGAUUUACUCUGCUUCCUGAGACAACUGGAAAACCAAGCAACAGCCCUCAAGGUAUUGGAUGCUGGUCAACGAAGGACAGUGAUCCCCGAGAGAUGAGAAACAAAUGAGGUAAGACUCUCACAUGUUCCAGCUCACUGCCUGGAGGAAGUUUCCAGUCCACCGUGCAGAUGGCGGGACGCCAGCCAAGCCCAGCAGCCUCCUUGAAUUGAGGCUACAGAACUAGGAGUCCAAGGAAAUCAAGGUGGCUAGAGUUUGCAGAGCAGGGCACCUGAGAGAAGAGAACUUGACAGAGAGAGAACUCUGGGGCCCUGCAAAGGGUCAGUCACAAGUAUUCAGUUUACUGACAAGAGCAUGUGUCGCUGACGCCGGAGGAAGAACCACUCGAAAGAAUUAGAGACAACAUUGCUGAGAGCUCACACUGGGCUGGGAAUAGUGCCGUUCCCAACAGCCGGAGUGGAAAACGCUCAUAAUUUGUGGGGCAUGUGUUAAAGGCCUAGGAAGGGAACUGCCUCAUGAGGGGAGAAAACUAACACUAAUUACUAAUACAGCAAUACAGACUAUACAGUAGCAAUACAGUAAUUAGUAAUUACUAAUACAGACUAAUACUGCACUGAUCACGUCAAACGAAACUUACAAGAAAGCCCUGAAGGGGCCACAUUGCAUCCAGAUAACUGGACCACAUGCUGAAAAACAGCUCAAAAAUAUAUUUUAGAAAUGUUUACCUAUGACCUGGUCAGAGAAAAUGUUGACAUGGAUGGGCUAAAGGUGUAAAAAGCUGGAAAUGCAUUUUAUCAUUUCUGGUUCUAAGUGUACUAAAUUAAAAUGGUCUCUAUUCCAAUGUAUUUAUUUGUUUGUUUAGUACAACAAUGUCCAGCACACAGCAAGGUAAGAUGUAAAAUGUCUAGUAUCCAAUAAAAAAAACGUAGGCAUGCAAAAGCAGCAAAAUAAGGAGAAAAAUCAAUCAAAUCUGACCCAGAUGAUAAAAUUAGUAGAUAAGGACAUUAAAACAAUCUUUACAACUUUAUUUCAUAUGUUCUAGAAGCUAGAGGAAAGGUUAGAUGUGUUAAGUAGAUACAAGGAAGACUUAAAAAAAACCGAAACACCCAGAUUGAAGUUCUAGAGAUGAAAACUACAAUGUCAGAGACAAAAAUACGUCAGACGACCGUCAUGUUAGAUAUCAGUGAAGAUUAGUGAACUUGAUGACUUAUCAAUAGAAACUGUCCAAAACUAAGCAAAGAAAACACAAACUAAUCUAUUCUGCAGAAAGUGGAGCAGUGGAUUUCUGGGGAUGAACCUUAAGUGGGGGGUGAGUAGGGGCACGAGGAAGAUUUUGGAGGUGAUGGACGUGUUCCUUAUCUUGGUUGUGGUGAUGGUUUCCCAUGUGUUUACAUACAUCAAAACGUAUAAAAUUGUACACUUUG
ensembl:lncRNA